rnacentral:lncRNA from 1 species
GAGUGCUCGAACAGAGAAUUUAGUAGAGUUUUUGGGUAAAAAACUAGAGCUUAUGGAAUAACGUAUCUAGGGUCCCCCUUUUUAUAGGCGGAGGGCCCAACAGACUGAUAACGAUGUUCAUAACCGUCUCGUAGUGGACCGCCCACCAUCAGAAGAAAUUUGUUGCGAGGAGUAGUGGAGUAGACCCGUGGCCCUCACUGCAGCGUGCCACGUGGAGUCUGCCGCAGGGAGUGGAGCGGCGUCCGUUGUUGCGAUUUGCCAGC